UACGUAGGGGGCUAGCGUUGUCCGGAUUUAUUGGGCGUAAAGAGCGUGUAGGCGGCCAGGUAGGUCUGGUGUGAAAACUCGAGGCUUAACCUCGAGAUGUCAUCGGAAACCAUUUGGCUAGAGUCCGGAAGAGGAGAGUGGAAUUCCUGGUGUAGCGGUGAAAUGCGCAGAUAUCAGGAAGAACACCAAUGGCGAAAGCAGCUCUCUGGGACGGUACUGACGCUGAGACGCGAAAGCGUGGGGAGCAAACAGG
rnacentral:rRNA from 1 species